CACCAUUCUAGACAGAGAAGAAGCAGCUGAUGAAGGAUUAUUAUCAUGGAUGCAUCACAGACCAGUAUUUUCCUCGAUUCACAUGACAACCCUAUAAGAGAGGAGGAAGAAAAACAGCAUGGUAUAGUGGAAAAAGGGCUGGAUUUGGAGUCCAAGGAUCUACAUUCAAAUCAUGGCUCUGAUACUUAUCAUCAACAUGCCCUUGGGAAGUACAUAAAGGCAAAUAUGAACUCACCAAUUAUUGACUCAGGCGACUCAAGAAGCUGAAGAGGCAAAGAAAUGUCUUUGUCCAAAUUGAAGUCUUCCAACAGGAUAUUGUGGUCAUCUUGUAACAGAUUGUCUUAAAAAUAUAAGAUGUAACUUUAUUAUGGAAAGUUUAAAAAGCAUACUCAUGAAAAUAAAAGUUGAAUAAAGUAUGUUGGAUAUAAUUUUGA